AUUGAACGCUGGCGGCAUGCUUUACACAUGCAAGUCGAACGGUAACAGGCCGCAAGGUGCUGACGAGUGGCGAACGGGUGAGUAAUGCAUCGGAACGUGCCCAGUCGUGGGGGAUAACUACUCGAAAGAGUAGCUAAUACCGCAUACGAUCUAUGGAUGAAAGCGGGGGACCGUAAGGCCUCGCGCGAUUGGAGCGGCCGAUGUCAGAUUAGGUAGUUGGUGGGGUAAAGGCUCACCAAGCCAACGAUCUGUAGCUGGUCCGAGAGGACGACCAGCCACACUGGGACUGAGACACGGCCCAGACUCCUACGGGAGGCAGCAGUGGGGAAUUUUGGACAAUGGGCGCAAGCCUGAUCCAGCAAUGCCGCGUGCAGGAAGAAGGCCUUCGGGUUGUAAACUGCUUUUGUACGGAACGAAACGGCUCUGGUUAAUACCCGGGGCUAACGACGGUACCGUAAGAAUAAGCACCGGCUAACUACGUG
rnacentral:rRNA from 1 species